rnacentral:lncRNA from 1 species
UUAGUGUCCUAUUCCCAAGAGUAGACACAAACAAUACAUAAUCAAGUCUUUCAGGUAAUAUAUUCAAGUUUAGUAUAAAAGCAUGUGAGACAAAUGAAUGUGAGGCACCAGUAUCAAUCAAAACAUAUGCAAGAUAAUUACAAAUAGUGUACGUACCAUGUAUCACGUCUAGGUUGGCUUUUGCAUAUUGCGGAGUGAGGUUGUAAGCUCUACCCUAAAUAAGAGGUUUGGCCUGAUUCUGAUUCCUUGAGCACUCUCUCGCGUAAUGUUGGGCACUCCUACAUAUACGGCAGGUAUUGUUGAGGUGAUAG